rnacentral:lncRNA from 1 species
GAUGAUUUUACACUCAAACCAAGCAUUUAUUUAUAAUGAAGUGCAGUCUCCAUGCGCACAUGAGAUUGUAGUUACAGCAUAAAGAAAGGCAAGGAAAUUAACACAUGUGGACUUAUUGGAAAAUCAUACAAAUUAUUGAAGGACGACCUUAGCUAGGCUAACAGUCUCCUAAAUAUGCCAUCUUUUAUAUAUCUUUGCAUUCAUCCAUCUCCUCAUCGUCUUUGAUUUUAGAUGGUGAGGAUGUGAAAG